GAUGAACGCUAGCGAUAGGCCCAACACAUGCAAGUCGAGGGGCAUCACAUGAAGCAGCAAUGCGGAUGGUGGCGACCGGCGCACGGGUGAGUAACACGUAUGCAACCUGCCUUCAACAAGGGCAUAACCCGUUGAAAGACGGACUAAUUCCCUAUGACACAGGGGUCCCGCAUGGGGAUAUUUGUUAAAGAUUUUAUCGGUUGAAGAUGGGCAUGCGUUCCAUUAGCUUGUUGGCGGGGUAACGGCCCACCAAGGCAACGAUGGAUAGGGGAACUGAGAGGUUUAUCCCCCACACUGGUACUGAGACACGGACCAGACUCCUACGGGAGGCAGCAGUGAGGAAUAUUGGUCAAUGGACGCAAGUCUGAACCAGCCACGUCGCGUGAAGGAAGACGGCCCUACGGGUUGUAAACUUCUUUUAUACGGGAAUAAAGUGCCCCACGUGUGGGGUUUUGCAUGUACCGUAUGAAUAAGGAUCGGCUAACUCCGUGCCAGCCGCCGCUGUAA
rnacentral:rRNA from 1 species